UGCACGAGAUAGAACCAGUCAUACCACUAAUGGUUUUAUUAGUCCUAAAUAUUUUUACUGCAAGAUUUCGUUGUUCUAAGUGUUUUCACUGUCAGAUGAAGGAUGAAAGUCGUUCAGGGUAAUUUCCAUUUUAGUAAUUUCCGACAGCGGCAGAACAGUUUCUACUUACGAUUGGGGCCUUUACAACAACCAAACGGACAGGCAUUCCAGCGCCACGGGAAUUUUCAGUAACUGUCUCAAGAGAGAGGUCUGUGCCACGUGGUCCCUCCAACCCCAGGAAAUCAGUGUCCAGUCCAACUUCUUCCAACACUCCCACUCCUACGAAACACCUGAGGACCCCUUCCACAAAGCCCAAGCAAGAGAAUGAAGGUGGAGAAAAGGCUGCGCUUGAGUCCCAAGUUCGGGAACUUUUGGCAGAAGCCAAAGCAAAAGAUAGUGAAAUUAACAGGCUUCGAAGUGAACUAAAGAAAUGCAAAGAGAAAAGGACUCUGAACGCUGAGGGGACUGAUGCUUUGGGCCCAAAUGUCGAUGGAACAUCAGUCUCCCCAGGUGACACGGAACCUAUGAUAAGAGCUCUUGA
rnacentral:sRNA from 1 species